GACGAACGCUGGCGGCGUGCUUAACACAUGCAAGUCGAACGAAGAGCGAUGGAAGCUUGCUUCUAUCACUCUUAGUGGCGAACGGGUGAGUAACGCGUAAUCAACCUGCCCUUCAGAGGGGGACAACAGUUGGAAACGACUGCUAAUGCCGCAUACGAUCUGACCUCGGCAUCGAGGAUAGAUGAAAGGUGGCCUCUAUUUAUAAGCUAUCACUGAAGGAGGGGAUUGCGUCUGAUUAGCUAGUUGGAGGGGUAACGGCCCACCAAGGCGAUGAUCAGUAGCCGGUCUGAGAGGAUGAACGGCCACAUUGGGACUGAGACACGGCCCAGACUCCUACGGGAGGCAGCAGUGGGGAAUCUUCCGCAAGAGACGAAAGUCUGACGGAGCAACGCCGCGUGAGUGAUGACGGCCGUCGGGUUGUAAAGCUCUGUUAAUCGGGACGAAAGGCCUUCUUGCGAAUAGUUAGAAGGAUUGACGGUACCGGAAUAGAAAGCCACGGCUAACUACGUG
rnacentral:rRNA from 1 species